GAUGAACGCUGGCGGCGUGCCUAAUACAUGCAAGUCGAGCGAACAGACGAGGAGCUUGCUCCUCUGACGUUAGCGGCGGACGGGUGAGUAACACGUGGAUAACCUACCUAUAAGACUGGGAUAACUUCGGGAAACCGGAGCUAAUACCGGAUAAUAUAUUGAACCGCAUGGUUGAAUAGUGAAAGACGGUUUUGCUGUCACUUAUAGAUGGAUCCGCGCCGCAUUAGAUAGUUGUUAAGGUAACGGCUUACCAAGGCAACGAUGCGUAGCCGACAUGAGAGGGUGGUCGGCCACACUGGAACUGAGACACGGUCCAGACUCCUACGGGAGGCGGCAGUAGGGAAUCGGGCGGAAUGGGCGAAAGCUUGACGGAGCAGCGCCGCGUGAGUGAUGAAGGUCUUCGGAUCGGAAAACUCUGUUAUUGGGGAAGAACAAAUGUGUAAGUAACUAUGCACGUCUUGACGGUACCUGAUCAGAAAGCCACGGCUAACUACGUG
rnacentral:rRNA from 1 species